CAGCAGCCGCGGGAAUACAGAGGGUGCGAGCGUUAAUCCGAUUUACUGGGCGUAAAGCGUGCGUAGGCGGCUUUUUAAGUCGGAUGUGAAAUCCCUGAGCUUAACUUAGGAAUUGCAUUCGAUACUGGGAAGCUAGAGUAUGGGAGAGGAUGGUAGAAUUCCAGGUGUAGCGGUGAAAUGCGUAGAGAUCUGGAGGAAUACCGAUGGCGAAGGCAGCCAUCUGGCCUAAUACUGACGCUGAGGUACGAAAGCAUGGGGAGCAAACAGGAUUAGAUACCCCCGUAGUCCCUGUCUCUUAUAC
rnacentral:rRNA from 1 species